GACGGGGGAUGCAAGCGUUAUCCGGAAUCAUUGGGCGUAAAGCGCGUGUAGGCGGCUCGAUAAGUCUGCUGUGAAAGUCCAGGGCUCAACCCUGGAAAGCCGGUGGAAACUGUCGGGCUAGAGUCCGGAAGAGGCGAGUGGAAUUCCUGGUGUAGCGGUGAAAUGCGCAGAUAUCAGGAGGAACACCAAUGGCGAAGGCAGCUCGCUGGGACGGUACUGACGCUGAGACGCGAAAGCGUGGGGAGCAAACAGG
rnacentral:rRNA from 1 species